GGGGAUGUACUCAAUGGUAGAGCACUUGCUUAGCAUGCAUGAGGCUCUGGGUUCGAUCCCCAACACUGCCA
rfam:Ictidomys tridecemlineatus contig104616, whole genome shotgun sequence.